AUUUUUUCUUCCUUAGAGCAUCUUUUAGUCAGCUUUGGAAAUCUCUUAGUGGAAUAUCUUUUCUCGUUUUGCCUGUGGUCUACUGACAAUGUACACAUCGUCGUGCAAUUAUUAAAAAUUGACUGAUUGGCACGGUUAUAUCCAUACGCCCACACAGCAUACAGCAGCUGCUGUUUUUAUGAGUUUUCAUUGAGGCCGGGAAAAGUGCAAAAAAAAAAAAAAGAAGAAAAUAAAAACACGCGUCGUGUCAGAUUUUCAGAUGUUCGGAUGUGAUAAUGCAAACAAUGAGCCACAUCACUUGUUAUUUUUGUCAUAAGCCAAAAGUUCCCCUUGAUUAAAAAAAAAAAAACUGGAUAAGUUAACCCAUCAGUGACAAUUUU